UUAAAACCUAGUAUUUAAAAUUACUUUUUUAGCAUUUAAGGAACUUACCAUGAAAUACAUAUUUGUAUAUCUAAUUUAUUUGAGACCAGAAACACUGAGGUAAUAAUUACAAACUACAAAAAUCAAUAUUACUUUUGUGAUUUCACAUACUAAAAUGAGCUUGAUUAUAUCUCUGUCAGAGAAAUCAAAUAUAAUUAACACUUUAAUUCAGAAUGCUUGAGUUACUGUAAAUAUCUUUAAUUCUACGUGUCACGGUGUGCUGUGUUUGAAAUUUUCAUGAUGGUUUUAAUUUCAAGGAUAAUGUAUUUUUCUAUCAAAAUAUAAUCAUGAUUAUAUCAACUAUAUUUCUUAUGAGUAUUAAAAAUGUACUUUUUG
rnacentral:sRNA from 1 species